AGUCGAACGAAGGCCCUAGCUUGCUAGGUGUCCUUAGUGGCGCACGGGUGAGUAACACGUGGGAACAUACCUUAUAGUACGGAAUAACUGCGGGAAACUGUAGCUAAUACCGUAUAUUCCAGCAAUGGGAAAGAUUUAUCGCUAUAAGAUUGGCCCGCGCAAGAUUAGCUUGUUGGUGAGGUAAAAGCUCACCAAGGCUGCGAUCUUUAGCUGGCUUGAGAGGAUGAUCAGCCACACUGGGACUGAGACACGGCCCAGACUCCUACGGGAGGCAGCAGUAGGGAAUAUUGGACAAUGGGGGCAACCCUGAUCCAGCAAUGCAGCGUGAGUGACGAAGGCCUUAGGGUUGUAAAACUCUUUCAUCGGUGAGGAUAAUGACAGUAGCCGAAGAAGAAGGACCGGCUAAUUCCGUGCCAGCAGCCGCGGUAAUACGGAAGGUCCUAGCGUUGUUCGGAAUUACUGGGCGUAAAGCGCAUGUAGGCGGAACAGAAAGUUAGAAGUGAAAUCCCUGGGCUCAACCUAGGAAUUGCUUUUAAAACUUCUGUUCUGGAAUUCAGGAGAGGAAAAUGGAAUUUCCAGUGUAGAGGUGAAAUUCGUAGAUAUUGGAAGGAACACCAGUGGCGAAGGCGAUUUUCUGGACUGAUAUUGACGCUGAGAUGCGAAGGCAUGGGUAGCAAACGGGAUUAGAUACCCCGGUAGUCCAUGCAGUAAACGAUGGGUGCUAGUCGUCGGACUUUUGUUCGGUGUCGUAGCUAACGCGUUAAGCACCCCGCCUGGGGAGUACGGUCGCAAGAUUAAAACUCAAAUAAAUUGACGGGGACCCGCACAAGCAGUGGAGCAUGUGGUUUAAUUCGACGCAACGCGAAGAACCUUACCAGCGUUUGACAUGGAAAGUACCGGUUACAGAAUGGUAACCUUCAGUUCGGCUGGCUUUCGC
rnacentral:rRNA from 1 species